UACGUAGGGUGCGAGCGUUGUCCGGAAUUAUUGGGCGUAAAGGGCGCGUAGGCGGUGCGGUAAGUCACCUGUGAAACCUCUAGGCUCAACCUAGAGCCUGCAGGCGAAACUGCCGUGCUUGAGGGUGGGAGAGGUGCGUGGAAUUCCCGGUGUAGCGGUGAAAUUCGUAGAUAUUCGGAAGAACACCAGUGGCGAAGGCGACUUACUGGACACAUAUUGACGCUGAGGUGCGAAAGCGUGGGGAGCAAACAGG
rnacentral:rRNA from 1 species